UACGUAGGGUGCGAGCGUUAAUCGGAAUUACUGGGCGUAAAGCGUGCGCAGGCGGUUAUGUAAGACCGAUGUGAAAUCCCCGGGCUUAACCUGGGAACUGCAUUGGUGACUGGCAGGCUUUGAGUGUGGCAGAGGGAGGUAGAAUUCCACGUGUAGCAGUGAAAUGCGUAGAGAUGUGGAGGAAUACCGAUGGCGAAGGCAGCCUCCUGGGCCAACACUGACGCUCAUGCACGAAAGCGUGGGGAGCAAACAGG
rnacentral:rRNA from 1 species